AAAAAAAAAAAAAUGAAUCAAAGAAUUGAGGUCGGAGAUUGCCAACAGAAAAGGGGUAGUGUUCCAACAAGACAAUGCCCGACCACAUGUCUUUGGCUACCCGAACAAAGUUACAUGAACUUGGCUGAAAUCUCUUACCCCCAUCCACAAUAUUUUUCUGAUAUCGCGCCAUUC